rnacentral:misc_RNA from 1 species
GAUGAAGAACGUAGCGAAAUGCGAUACGUAAUGUGAAUUGCAAAUUCAGUGAAUCAUCGAAUCUUUGAACGCACCUUGCGCCCUUUGGCCAUUCCGAAGGGCAUGCCUGUUUGAGUAUCAUGAACACCUCAACUCUUCAUGGUUUUCCGUGAUGAGCUUGGACUUUGGGGGUCUUGCUGGCCUAUGGUCAGCUCCUCUAAAAUAAAUCAGCUUGCCAGUGUUUGGUGGGUAUCACAGGUGUGAUAACUAUCUACGCUUGUGGUUUUCCACCAGGUAACCUUCAGCAGUGGAGGUUCGCUGGAGCUCACAGAUGUGUCUCUCCUCAGUGAGGACAGCUCUUUGAAUGUUUGAUCUCAAAUCAGGUAGGACUACCCGCUGAACUUAAGCAUAUCAAUAAGCGGAGGA